UCCUCGUUAUCUUUCUUUCUCUUUCCGCGCGCUAUCUUCCGCGAAGGAGGGAAAUCGUUGAUUAAAAAAGCGAUAAGCGACGACGAGUCGGUUAAAAAUAGACGCGCGG